GUGGAUUUGGCUACGAUAUCAGCAUGUAGUUUGCGCUGCGUGCGUUUUCUUUUAGUCGAUUUUAUUAGUGCGUGUACAAAAUACCUCGAGUGCCUGCGCAGCCCAACUCCAAACGCGCCGUUUUGAACAAAUUCACUGAUGCCGAAUCGGAAAACCUUCUUGCUUUUGUGAAAGUGAAUCGAUCGCUCUGGGAUACAAAGUCGAAAGAGUACAUUGAUACGAAGAGCAAGGUGGACAUAUGGAAUGCAAUCGCUCAGUUGAUCGGAGAAUCGAAAACAGGCGACGACUGUAAAAACCAGUACAACAACCUGCGCAGUACCUUCCAAAAAAAGUGGAAAAUCGUGAAGACAAAACCCAGCGGAAGCGAGGCCGAUAAAGCGAAAAAAUGGCACUUUUGGGACCAGAUGCAGUUUUUGGGCGACGUUUUCACGAUGGCUGAAACAUCGGACAGUGCAGGAACUGAGCCAUUUUCUCAAGAUGUGUCGGAUAUUGAAGGGAAUCAACGGAUCACCGAAGAGGAAGA